rnacentral:rRNA from 14 species
AGCUACGGCCAUACACACCAGAAAGCUCCGCAUCCCGUCCGAUCUGCGAAGAUAAUCUGGUGCUGGCGCGGUCAGUACUGUCGUGGGAGACCAGAUGGGAAUACCGCGUGCUGUAGUU